GACGAACGCUGGCGGCGUGCUUAACACAUGCAAGUCGAACGAUGAAGCUGGAGCUUGCUCCGGUGGAUUAGUGGCGAACGGGUGAGUAACACGUGAGCAAUCUGCCCUUCACUCUGGGAUAACUGCGGGAAACUGUAGCUAAUACCGGAUACGAGACCUUGGGGCAUCCCAGGGUCUGGAAAGAAUUUCGGUGAAGGAUGAGCUCGCGGCCUAUCAGCUAGUUGGUGAGGUAAUGGCUCACCAAGGCGACGACGGGUAGCCGGCCUGAGAGGGGGACCGGCCACGCUGGGACUGAGACACGGCCCAGACUCCUACGGGAGGCAGCAGUGGGGAAUAUUGCACAAUGGGCGAAGGCCUGAUACAGCAACGCCGCGUGAGGGAUGAAGGCCUUCGGGUUGUAAACCUCUUUUAGUAGGGAGGAAGCGCAAGUGACGGUACCUACAGAAAAAGCACCGGCUAACUACGUGCCAGCCGCCGCCGUAA
rnacentral:rRNA from 1 species